AUCCUUCCAGUGGCACAGUGUGUCAGUGUAUCUGGCUCUUAACCAGAAGGUUGGUGGUUCAAGUCCAUCCAGGGAUG